GCCGGGUGUGCUGAUGUUUGGGGGUGAGU
rnacentral:sRNA from 1 species